rnacentral:rRNA from 1 species
UACGUAGGUGGCAAGCGUUGUCCGGAUUUAUUGGGCGUAAAGCGAGCGCAGGCGGUUCCGUAAGUCAGAUGUGAAAGCCCCCGGCUCAACCGGGGAAGGGCAUUGGAAACUGGCGGGCUUGAGUGAAGAAGAGGGGAGUGGAAUUCCAUGUGUAGCGGUGAAAUGCGUAGAUAUAUGGAGGAACACCGGUGGCGAAGGCGGCUUCCUGGACUGUAACUGACGCUGAGGCGCGAAAGCGUGGGGAGCAAACAGG